rnacentral:rRNA from 1 species
CUCAUAGCGUAUAUUAAGUUGUUGCAGUUAAAAAGCUCGUAGUUGGACCUUGGACCUGGACAGGCGGUCCGCCUCACGGCGAGUACUGUCUUGCUGGGUCUUUCCUCUUGGUGAUCUGUUGUUUCGGCAGCAGGGAACCAGGACCUUUACUUUGAAAAAAUUAGAGUGUUCAAAGCAGGCUCGACGCCGGAAUAUAUUAGCAUGGAAUAAUAAAAUAGGACGUGCGGUUCUAUUUUGUUGGUUUUUGGAAUCGCCGUAAUGAUUAAUAGGGACAGUCGGGGGCAUUAGUACUCACAUGCUAGAGGUGAAAUUCUCGGAUUUUGUGAAGACUAACUUCUGCGAAAGCAUUUGCCAAGGAUGUUUUCAUUAAUCAAGAACGAAGGUUAGGGUAUCGAAAACGAUUAGAUACCGUUGUAGUCUUAACAGUAAACUAUGCCGACUAGGGAUCGGUCGAUGUUAUCUUUUUGACUCGAUCGGCACCUUACGAGAAAUCAAAGUUUUUGGGUUCUGGGGGGAGUAUGGUCGCAAGGCUGAAACUUA